UGCGGAGGGGGCUAGCGUUGUUCGGAAUUACUGGGCGUAAAGCGCACGUAGGCGGCUUGGUAAGUUAGAGGUGAAAGCCUGGAGCUCAACUCCAGAAUUGCCUUUAAGACUGCCGAGCUAGCAGGUGAGAGAGGUGAGUGGAAUUCCGAGUGUAGAGGUGAAAUUCGUAGAUAUUCGGAAGAACACCAGUGGCGAAGGCGGCUCACUGGCUCAUACUGGACGCUGAGGUGCGAAAGCGUGGGGAGCAAACAGG
rnacentral:rRNA from 1 species